GAUGAACGCUGGCGGCGUGCCUAAUACAUGCAAGUCGAGCGAACAGACGAUGAGCUUGCUCCGCUGACGUUAGCGGCUGGCGGGUGAGUAACACGUGUAUCACCUACCUAUAUUACGGGGAUAACUUCGGGAAACCGGAUCUAAUACCAUAGAAUAUAUUGAACCGCAUUGGUCAAUGGUGAAAUACGGCUUUUGUGGCUCUUAUAGCUGGUUCCGCGCCUCAUUAGCUAGUUGGUAAGGUAACGGCCUAUCAAGGCUACGAUGCGUAGCCGAACUGAGAGGGUGAUCGGCCACACUGGAACUGAGACACGGUCCAGACUACUAAGGGAGGGAGCAGUCGGGAAUCUUACGCAAUGGGCGAAAGCAUGACGGAGCAAGGCCGAGUGAGUGACGAAGGCCUUCGGAUCGUAAAGACCUGUUAUGAGGGAAGAACAACUGUGUAAGUAAACAUGGCCGUAUUGACGGUAACUAAUAAGAAAGCAACGGCUAACUACGUG
rnacentral:rRNA from 1 species